GCCCGGAUAGCUCAGGUGGAUAGAGCGCUAGUUUCCUAAACUGGAGGCCACAGGUUCGAGUCCUGUUCCGGGUA
rnacentral:tRNA from 7 species